GAGUUUGAUCCUGGCUCAGAUUGAACGCUAGCGGGAUGCUUUACACAUGCAAGUCGAACGGCAGCGCGAGAGAGCUUGCUCCCUUGGCGGCGAGUGGCGGACGGGUGAGUAAUAUAUCGGAACGUGCCCAGUAGCGGGGGAUAACUACUCGAAAGAGUGGCUAAUACCGCAUACACCCUACGGGGGAAAGGGGGGGAUCGCAAGACCUCUCACUAUUGGAGCGGCCGAUAUCGGAUUAGCUAGUUGGUGGGGUAAAGGCUCACCAAGGCAACGAUCCGUAGCUGGUUUGAGAGGACGACCAGCCACACUGGGACUGAGACACGGCCCAGACUCCUACGGGAGGCAGCAGUGGGGAAUUUUGGACAAUGGGGGAAACCCUGAUCCAGCCAUCCCGCGUGUAUGAUGAAGGCCUUCGGGUUGUAAAGUACUUUUGGCAGAGAAGAAAAGGUAUCCCCUAAUACGGGAUACUGCUGACGGUAUCUGCAGAAUAAGCACCGGCUAACUACGUGCCAGCAGCCGCGGUAAUACGUAGGGUGCAAGCGUUAAUCGGAAUUACUGGGCGUAAAGCGUGUGUAGGCGGUUCGGAAAGAAAGAUGUGAAAUCCCAGGGCUCAACCUUGGAACUGCAUUUUUAACUGCCGAGCUAGAGUAUGUCAGAGGGGGGUAGAAUUCCACGUGUAGCAGUGAAAUGCGUAGAUAUGUGGAGGAAUACCGAUGGCGAAGGCAGCCCCCUGGGAUAAUACUGACGCUCAGACACGAAAGCGUGGGGAGCAAACAGGAUUAGGUACCCUGGUAGUCCACGCCCUAAACGAUGUCAACUAGCUGUUGGGGCCGUUAGGCCUUAGUAGCGCAGCUAACGCGUGAAGUUGACCGCCUGGGGAGUACGGUCGCAAGAUUAAAACUCAAAGGAAUUGACGG
rnacentral:rRNA from 1 species